AACCUAAAGAAUUAAGGUCUCCCUCAAAAUAGGGCCUCGGGAACUCCACGACUACAUGUCCCGGAAAGCCCUGCGCGCGGGUUCUCCUUCCGGCUAGUUUCUCCUGACUUCCUGGCAGCCCCAGGCGACUGAGACCGGGACGGAAACUCAGAGGUAACUCUUCACUCGUCAGAGAUCCUGAGUGUGAGACGGAUUUCCGCACAUGCGCAGUCGAUGCCGCAGUGCCUAGUCGACGUCUAGGUAGCGGCGCUGCUGGUCCGUGAGCGUCUGGUGCUAGGGACAGAUGAUGAAGACAGGUACCAGCCUAGGCACUGGGAAUCAGCUCCGAUUCUAGUGGUGGGAAAACAGACAUUAACCAAAAGAGUAGGCGCUAAGAAGGACUGCAGCUGGAGACUCCUAGUGAAUUCUGCCUUCAGCUGUGUGUGAACUUUGCCAGGUCUAUUAGUGCCCGCUAACCAAAGACCACCAGAGAGAGCUGGGGAAGGUCAGAGGGAGAGAGAAUCUUAAGCAGGCUCCAUGCCCAGCACAGAGCCCAAUGCGGGGCUCAGUCUCACAACCCUGAGAUCAUGACCUGAGCUGAAAUCAAGAGUCAGACACUUAACCAACUGAGCCACCCAGAUGCCCCUCCCUUUAGGUGUACAACAUAGUGAUUCGACAAUGCUGUACAUUAUGCUUUGUUCGCCAUGGCAGACACCUGUGGCUCAGCAUGAAGAAUCUACCACCAAGCCCACAAGCCCAGACAUGGUUACCUUUUUGCGUGGCCGAAGCUUGUCCCGCCAUUCCUUCAGGUUCUGGUUAUGGCUCUCAUCUAGAGCCUUCAGCUUCUGGGUUUCAUGUUCUACCAGGAGGUGACACUUUUCAUUCUGGAACAAAUUCCAGGCAGAACAGGAGAAAUUUGUAGUAAGGAUGAGGACAUGGACCUGACUGAGACACUCCCAACAUUACCGUUCUCUCUCUGAGAAAUUGCCAAAUGGAUCCAAUAGCCUGACCAAUUUCCGGAAAUCAGAGGUUUGAGUCGGCCCAUCCCUCAGCCACAGGGAGCUGGUGUCAGAUGAAGACCUCAUGCCCUGCAAGACACAGAGCGGGCUGUGCUCAACCCACUAAGAAUGGUCAGUUUAUCGCACUGCAUUCCGAUCUGUGAAAACCGGUAGCCACCCACAGUACAUCGGAACGGUGAUUUGGCUUCCUGACCAAAAUCAGAACCACUGCCCCACAAGUAGGGUGGUUCUUCUGGACAUCAUGGGACAAAAAAAGAAAAUGCGGGCUUUCCUGAAACAUCUAUGGCUCCUCAGAACGUCAGAACAUGCAGGACCCCAUUUUGCUGGCCCGCACCCAAGUACUGAGGGGUCUACACUGCUCAGCUGUGUGGGCCAUCACAGCGCUGGCUGUAGCUUCUUCGUUGUGUCAGGAAGCCGGAGACGGUGCUGGUACCCUGGCCCUAUGUCUUUUACCUCUUCACGACAGGCUGCACCGUUGGCUCAAAAGCCCACAGGUGCCACACUCAAAUCUUCACCCAUCCAACUGUUUUACAUGUAGCUCAAACAACAGAUCUUUGGCCAUUUAGAGCCCACUUGCUUUGCACACCCACACAAAACUGCACCAAACAUCUGCUAGGCAGAGAUGAGAUAAAGCCAGGGCUAUAGAAAGACCCUAAGGCCUGCUGCCCUUCAAAGCUCUACCCUAGGACCCCCUGCUGAGUGACCCCAUCCAGAUACAGAAGCCCUCCCUCCCCAGGAGUUCCUCUGCCCUCCCUCUGGGAGUGGCCCACACUGGGGUCUCCGGAAGAUCCCGUGCUGUGAGGGACCCGCCAGCGUGCAAACCUGUCAGAGCCCCACCACACCAGGGUGGUUAGGAGCUCAGCUUCAAGAGGAGACCCGUGGUCAAGGCCCACUCUACCACCCAUUAGCCAAGCAACCUCAGCCAAAGCACAGUCGCUCUGCAAGCAUCUGUUUUCUCGUCUACAAAAAUGCCUCAUUGCAUUAAGGUGAAGAUUCAAGGAGACUGAGCCAUGAAGACUGGCAUACGGCCUGGCAAAGCAGUCGCUCGAUAUACAAUAGCUCUUAUAAGGGGCUCAAUACUGUCCCCACUCCCGGCAGCCUGUUCACCCGGUGUACUUAUUUACAAUUUCUACCCACCCUAAAUCCCUCCCUCCCUUAUCAGGAAUACUGUUGGUGACAACUGGUAUCUGUGCCUCAGUCCUGACUUUAGUGGGGGUUGUCCCCAUGUUUCACUCUGAAGGAUGCUGUUUGGUGUUAGGAUGGAGAAGAACCUAGCAGUUCCUAGCAGAGCCCACUCUCUGGCACCCACCUCGAAG